UCCGUAAAGCUCUGUUGUUAAAGAAGAACACGUAUGAGAGUAACUGUUCAUACGUUGACGGUAUUUAACCAGAAAGUCACGGCUAACUACGUGCCAGCAGCCGCGGUAAUACGUAGGUGGCAAGCGUUAUCCGGAUUUAUUGGGCGUAAAGAGAGUGCAGGCGGUUUUCUAAGUCUGAUGUGAAAGCCUUCGGCUUAACCGGGGAAGUGCAUCGGAAACUGGAUAACUUGAGUGCAGAAGAGGGUAGUGGAACUCCAUGUGUAGCGGUGGAAUGCGUAGAUAUAUGGAAGAACACCAGUGGCGAAGGCGGCUACCUGGUCUGCAACUGACGCUGAGACUCGAAAGCAUGGGUAGCGAACAGGAUUAGAUACCCUGGUAG
rnacentral:rRNA from 1 species